AGUGAACGCUGGCGGCAGGCCUAACACAUGCAAGUCGAACGGCAGCACAAGAGAGCUUGCUCUCUGGGUGGCGAGUGGCGGACGGGUGAGGGAUGCAUCGGAAUCUGCCCAUUUGUGGGGGAUAACCUCGGGAAACCGGGACUAAUACCGCAUACGACCUACGGGUGAAAGCAGGGGAUCUUCGGACCUUGCGCAGAUGGAUGAGCCGAUGCCGGAUUAGCUAGUUGGAGGGGUAAAGGCCCACCAAGGCGACGAUCCGUAGCUGGUCUGAGAGGAUGAUCAGCCACACUGGGACUGAGACACGGCCCAGACUCCUACGGGAGGCAGCAGUGGGGAAUAUUGGACAAUGGGCGCAAGCCUGAUCCAGCCAUGCCGCGUGUGUGAAGAAGGCCUUCGGGUUGUAAAGCACUUUUGUUGGGAAAGAAAAGCAGCCGGUUAAUACCCGGUUGUCAUGACGGUACCCAAAGAAUAAGCACCGGCUAACUUCGUG
rnacentral:rRNA from 1 species